rnacentral:rRNA from 1 species
CUGCUGCCUCCCGUAGGAGUCUGGGCCGUGUCUCAGUCCCAAUGUGGCCGUUCUACCUCUCAGUACGGCUACUGAUCGUCGCCUUGGUGAGCCGUUACCUCACCAACCAGCUAAUCAGACGCGAGCCCAUCUUUAAGCGAUAAAUCUUUGAUACACAAACCAUGCGAUUCAUGUAUAUUAUGCGGUAUUAGCGGUCGUUUCCGACCGUUAUCCCACUCUUAAAGGCAGGUUGCUCACGUGUUACU